UCCGUAGGUGAACCUGCGGAAGGAUCAUUAUUGAAUUCAAAUCAUCUGUGGCCUUGGCCCGGAUGUGCCAACAGGUAACACUGUUGGUAAUUCUAUCCAUAACACCUGUGAACUGUUGGAUGCUUGCAUCCACUUUUAUACUAAACAUUAUUGUAACAAAUGUAGUCUUAUUAUAACAUAAUAAAACUUUUAACAACGGAUCUCUUGGCUCUCGCAUCGAUGAAGAACGCAGCGAAAUGCGAUAAGUAAUGUGAAUUGCAGAAUUCAGUGAAUCAUCGAAUCUUUGAACGCACCUUGCGCUCCUUGGUAUUCCGAGGAGCAUGCCUGUUUGAGUGUCAUGAAACUCUCAAACCCAAGUUUUGGAUUUCGGUCCAUGCUUGAGUUUGGAUUUGGAUGUUUGCCGGUGAUGAACCGACUCAUCUUAAAAAGUAUUAGCUAGAUCUGUCUCUAUGACUGGUUUGACUUGGCAUAAUAAGUAUUUUGCUGAGGACAUCUUUCGGGAUGGCCAGGACCUAGACUAUUGUCUGCUAACUAAACCAUCACUUUAAGGUGGCAUCUUUGGGGGAUGGUUACUCAUUGGUGUAACUUUGGACAUCUGGGGCCUCAAAUCAGGGGGUAGGGGGGACUACCCGGGCUGAACUUAA
rnacentral:rRNA from 1 species